rnacentral:rRNA from 1 species
GAUGAACGCUGGCGGCGUGCCUAAUACAUGCAAGUCGAGCGAACAGAUGAGGAGCUUGCUCCUCUGACGUUAGCGGCGGACGGGUGAGUAACACGUGGAUAACCUACCUAUAAGACUGGGAUAACUUCGGGAAACCGGAGCUAAUACCGGAUAAUAUAUUGAACCGCAUGGUUCAAUAGUGAAAGACGGUUUUGCUGUCACUUAUAGAUGGAUCCGCGCCGCAUUAGCUAGUUGGUAAGGUAACGGCUUACCAAGGCGACGAUGCGUAGCCGACCUGAGAGGGUGAUCGGCCACACUGGAACUGAGACACGGUCCAGACUCCUACGGGAGGCAGCAGUAGGGAAUCUUCCGCAAUGGGCGAAAGCCUGACGGAGCAACGCCGCGUGAGUGAUGAAGGUCUUCGGAUCGUAAAACUCUGUUAUUAGGGAAGAACAAAUGUGUAAGUAACUAUGCACGUCUUGACGGUACCUAAGCAGAAAGCCACGGCUAACUACGU